GAUCGCGGUGAUGACCUCAUAAAAUUCAAGCUCAACAGACCGGAAUGCAGGCUUCUCUUUUUGAGAAUUUUGCGUGUCGAUAACCCUGCUGAACCGAGUGAUA